ACCUGAAGCAGCAGCAGCAGCAGCAGCAGCACCUGACCGACAAAUGGACAAGUUAUACAAAGAAAGCUCGGUGAAUCAUUAGCUGUUUUAUUACCAGGAAAGACAGCAUCACUAUACACUGACGUAUUAGUAGGACAUGGUUUUAAACUCUUGAGUCAUAAUUCUAGAAACCCAUGGCAUCUGAUUGCGACAGAAAUGCGAUUUCUCUUGUCCUUAAAAAUAAGUAAGAAAUUGAUGCCUGCUCUAGGUUCCUCCCUUGUGGAUACUCAAGGAACCAGGUUCCUAUUGGCCUGGAUCACUGGCUCUCUCUUUGGGGUGCAAGGGCCCCUUAUCACGGCACUCCUACAUGCCACCAAUUAAACACUUUCUCUCUGCAUAAACAGCUCGUGUGAUUUUCUUCUGUCUUCCUAGCUGGAUGCGACUUUUUGCUCCACUCGCCUGGGACUAGCGCCCCCCCCUCGCCCCCCGUGUCUCCCUCCAUGCUGACUGACUGCUGUAUUCUUUCUUAUCUCAGUGUAGCAGACCUCUCUGGAGUGCCCCACACAAAUUACAAGAGGCUCUGGCUUCCCACGGCGCUCCUUCAUUUCUUCCUGAGAGAUGCUGAGGGACACUUAGAGCAGUCCCUGACAACAUUGUUGUGUAUUAACUGUGUGGUUUUGGAUCCUCUAAUUCCACAGCCCCUGAAACAUUAGCACAGAUCUUUUUGCAAGAAACUGCCUUAAUGGAAAGCCCAUUAUGUAAAGAAAGCUGGAGCCCAAGGAAUUUACAAUACACAAUAAAAGACACGGAGAAUGCGGGCAGGAGGGGGCGCUCUCUUAGCAAAGUGAACUGGCUUCACAUGGCGCCCAAGUCACUGCUCACUCCUCUGCCACAGUUCGUGCCCACUGCUGCUGUAGAACUGGGUGCAGGCUCUGGCUUUCACGCCAUACACAGACCUGUGUGCUUCCAUCUUUUGCAAUUUUGGGUACUAUGCUUACUUUGUAGUAUUGCUUAGAAAUGACACCAUGGGACCGUGAGCAGAAAACCACCAAGUGUGCCUUCAGCGUUGGUCACAUACAUCUUCUGGAAUUUAGUUUUGAAACUUUAAUUAUGUGUAAACACAUGUGUUAGGAAGGGGGAUAGGCACAUGUAAGUGCCCCCCAAAGUCAAGAGGAGGGCAGCAGACUCCCUCCAGCUGGAAUUACAAGUGGUGGGGAGCGGCCCAACGUGGGUGCUGAAAGCUGAACUUGCAAUUCCUCUGUUAGAACAGUACACAUUCUCAACCACCAAGCCAUAUCUCCAGCCGCAUCUUCUGGAAUCCAAUGCUGUGCCUUGAAAGACUGAGGGGCCUCCGUGUGUACUCAGGUUGGUGUGAAUGUGUAUGUGUGUGCUCAAUGUUGGUGUGAAUGUGUAUGUGUGUGCUCAAUGUUGGUGUGAAUGUGUAUGUGUGUGCUCAAUGUUGGUGUGAAUGUGUAUGUGUGUGCUCAAUGUUGGUGUGAAUGUGUAUGUGUGUGCUCAGGUUGGUGUGAAUGCGUACACGUUGGUCCCUGCUGAAUCUUGCAUUUACACACUAACAAACUUCCUUUAGGGAAUUCUGAGCCAUUCAGUUGGGGCAGAGAUGUGGCAGUUCUCACAAAAACAUCAGUACAGGUGUGCCUGUGUGUUUGGGUGUUGAUGUGUGUCCAUAUGAGUGUGCAGGUGUGUGUGCAUGUCUGUGCACACACGUUUCUGUGUGCCUCUGUCAGAGUGUGGAGUCUGUGUAUGAAUUUGUGUGUUCGUUAGAGUCUGAGCAUGCGUGCUGGCAACGAGGGAACGUGUCCCUGUGAAUGAACGCGGGCAGAGGGCCAGAGCCACAUCCUAUGGAAUUCGGCUGGAAGUUCCUGCUAUUACGCUGUUAUAGAGGUUUUCUUCACAAGGUCAAAUCCAAUGGCUCCCAAGGGGCACCAGCGAAGUGGGCCAAAGUUCAGCCUUCUUCGGACUUCUGCACCUUGCCUGGUGCUGUGCCUCCCUGAAGUCAAGGCUGCACUGCCAUGCUGUGCGGUGGCCCUGCUCAGAGCUGUAUGCACUGCAGUGGCCCUGCUCAGAGCUGUAUGCUGUGCAGUGGCCCUGCUCAGAGCUGUAUGCUGUGCAGUGGCCCUGCUCAGAGCUGUAGGCACUGCAGUGGCCCUGCUCAGAGCUGUAGGCACUGCAGUGGCCCUGCUCAGAGCUGUAGGCACUGCAGUAGCCCUGCUCAGAGCUAUAUCCUGUGCAGUAGCCCUGCUCAGAGCUCCAAGGAGCUGAGUGAGUCCAAGCUGGUCUUUCUCUAACAACCGAUUCUAACCCAAAGGAUGCCUUAUUUAGACUGGUCCCUGUUUUCUCUCUACUGAACUCUGUCCUGCUUGGGAGACUCCCUGGAGAACUCACCCAUGUUUGCAUAUCAACAUUUGUUUCCUGUAAGGACUUUAAAUGACGAGCCAUUAGGUUGGGACAGGCCUGUGGGAACAGAUGCCUGUGACACUUGUAUAGAGACAGAACUCAAUGGAUGGAAUUUUGUCCCAUAUUUCUCUGUCUCUGUGAAGAACAGAGAAGCAGAAUUCAAGCUUAGAGCUAAGAGGAAGAGUUUUUAAAGUCUUUAAAAUAUUAAAAAUAAAACUUUCAGAACCUAAGUCAAUGGGCCAUGGCCCAAGCUCAGACUCUUCUCUGCUGUCUUUCUCAUGAAGGGCACACAACGGCUCUCACUCCUUAAAAACCCAACACUGGGGGGCUGGAGAGAUGGCUCAGCAGUUAAGAGCAUUGCCUGUUCUUCCAAAGGUCCUGAGUUCAAUUCCCAGCAACCACAUGGUGGCUCACAACCAUCUGUAACAAGGUCUGGCGCCCUCUUCUGGCCUGCAGGCAUACACAGACAGAACAUUGUAUACAUAAUAAAUAAAAAAAAAAACAACUCUGCCCACCCACCCUGAAGAGC